UACGGAGGGUGCAAGCGUUGUUCGGAAUUACUGGGCGUAAAGCGCGUGUAGGCGGUUAGGCAAGUCAGAUGUGAAAGCCUUUCGCUUAACGGAAGAAUUGCAUUUGAAACUACCUGGCUGGAGUUCGGGAGAGGAGAGUGGAAUUCCCGGUGUAGAGGUGAAAUUCGUAGAUAUCGGGAGGAACACCGGUGGCGAAGGCGGCUCUCUGGCCCGAUACUGACGCUGAGACGCGAAAGCGUGGGGAGCAAACAGG
rnacentral:rRNA from 1 species